GUAGGGAAUAUUGGGCAAUGGAGGCAACUCUGACCCAGCCAUGCCGCGUGCAGGAUGACGACCCUCUGGGUUGUAAACUGCUUUUAUACGGGAAGAAAAAAUACUACGUGUAGUAUACUGACGGUACCGUAAGAAUAAGGAUCGGCUAACUCCGUGCCAGCAGCCGCGGUAAUACGGAGGAUCCAAGCGUUGUCCGGAUUUAUUGGGUUUAAAGGGUGCGUAGGCGGAUCUUUAAGUCAGUGGUGAAAGCCUGCAGCUUAACUGUAGAAUUGCCAUUGAAAGUGAAGAUCUUGAAUGUGGUUAAAGUAGGCGGAAUGUAUCAUGUAGCGGUGAAAUGCUUAGAUAUGAUACAGAACACCGAUAGCGAAGGCAGCUUGCUGAACCAUUAUUGACGCUGAGGCACGAAAGCGUGGGGAGCGAACAGGAUUAGAAACCCCAGUAGUCC
rnacentral:rRNA from 1 species